GAUCUGCCCGUCUUGGCCUCCCAAAGUGCUGGGGUUACACAUGUCAGCCACUGCACUCUGCCUAUAUAUACUGCAUUUUUAACAGCUCCACCUCUAUUUCUUGCUCUAAUGAGCCACUGGUAUUAACAGUGAUUUAUGUCUCAAUAGAAAAAAAAAUCUUAAACAAUGAAAAUUGUAGUUGGCAGCAUUAAGUUGGAGAAAGAGAUUGGUAGUGGCAAGAAGUUUUGAAAUAGAGGCUAUGGCAUGGGCAAGGAUGCUGAGAGAUGCAGGGUAUAUUAAAAUUUAUUCUUUCAGCUUCAGUUUCCUCAUCUGUAAAACAGAGACAAUUGAUAUCUACAGCAUAACCUGUAUUAGUUGUGAUCAUUUUGGUCAGGAGUUUGGCUUUUAUACUAUUGACAAUGGGCAACCAUGAAGACUUUUUGUAAGUAUCAUGACAAUAUUCAGAUCUGUUUUAAGAAAAAAAUAAUAGUUGAAUGCAAGAAGACAAGUUAGUGGUGGAGGGAAUGAAGAUGGGGUAGAUACGAGAAAUGUGGUGUCUACUGAGGAGACAGGUAAUUUUCAUUCAUGAGUGACAUCUAACUUGUCACUCAUGACUUGUGGGCUAGGCUCAUAAGUAUCUGGAAAGUUGUACCUUAUGCCCCUUUUGAAUGAAAUGUGUAUGGUUUACUUCUUUGAGUAAUCCAUCUUGUGAAAUUUAUUUUACAUCAUAUUGAUCAGCCUGUUAAAGUCAUGGUUAAAAAAAAUAACUGCUCUUAUAAUUACUUUGCUUGUGAAAUUGUAGCUACCUAGUAGCCAUGAUAACGGCCCUCUGAUAUAAUGAUCAAGAACUCCAAUAUAUAACUCCAAUAGUCUCUGGAGUUAAACAGACUUGGUGCAUUUGAAUCCAGUCUGAUCCUGAGCAUGAUAAUUCUGCCUACCCUUUAGAGUUGUUCUGAAGAUUAAGAAAGAAUGCAUAUAAUGCAUUAAGGCAGUGCCUGCCUUUUAGUAAGCACUUAAUGUGUAGUAGAUAUUAUUAUUUUUCACAGAAGUCUUGGUACAGUUAUUAGUUCAUUGUGUGCCUGGAGGUAUUUGAAGUAUAUAGGGUAUGCCCCCCACUAAAGCAUAAUUUAACUUAAUCAGUUGAGAUGCUCAUCAAAUUUCAAGACCAAUCUUUAUUCAGUAGACUAAUUUGCAUUGCAUAAUUCAAAGUAAUCAGGGCAAGUUGAAACUUAGAAGCUUUUAAAACAGAAUAAUAUUUAAUAGGAACAAAUAAAAGUUUAGGCCCUGAGGGAAGAAACAAACCAUUACUCAGUGUGAAGCGGACAUGCUCAGCUAAAGGUUUCUGGUAAGGGGGGUAAACAUAAAUUUGUAACAUAAUACAGUGGGAAUCUCACCUCUUUGUAGUGGCUUUAAGGAAUAUAGGGAUAGCGCCUUGAGUACAAAGUAGGUUGUGGUCAUCCCUACAAUUUCAAUUUAAUUCAAAAGCUGACUGGUGAAAGGACUCGACUUCCCAUUUGUUCCCAGUCAUUAAGAAGAUGCAGGUAGUAAAACAGAGGGAGGACAGCAAGCAAGUUUGUCAGCACUGAUGCUGACCAGCAAUUGGGUUGGUGCAAGCAGCAAUAGUUCUUCAGUAUCCCAUAUGUUUGCAAGCAGGCAUGCAAUUUUUUUCUUUUUACACUUAAAAAACAACCCCUCAAAAUCUAUUCUUUUUUUGUUUCUUCUGAUUUCAUCUAGGCCCAGUAUUUCCUUUGGGGUGGUCUGCCAACCCCUUGGAAAAAAGGGACAAGCACACACAGGAGAGGAGGCACAAGUUUGGGAGGGAAGGGAAGCAGAGUUCGGUUGGACACUGAGAGGGUGAAAUUCACCAGGGACAGCUGGGUGGUGAUGGAGACCUCUCAGGAGAGAGAUCCCAGCUGGAGAGAUUUUAUUCCUCAAGAAGACUAAGCAUGAUACAGGGAUUAAAUAAAUGAGUACACAGUAGAGAUUCAAUAUCAUGCUAACAACAACAACAACAACAACAACAACAA